rnacentral:rRNA from 1 species
AUCAAGGCCGAGGCGUGAUGACGAGGCACUACGGUGCUGAAGCAACAAAUGCCCUGCUUCCAGGAAAAGCCUCUAAGCAUCAGGUAACAUCAAAUCGUACCCCAAACCGACACAGGUGGUCAGGUAGAGAAUACCAAGGCGCUUGAGAGAACUCGGGUGAAGGAACUAGGCAAAAUGGUGCCGUAACUUCGGGAGAAGGCACGCUGAUACGUAGGUGAAGCGACUUGCUCGUGGAGCUGAAAUCAGUCGAAGAUACCAGCUGGCUGCAACUGUUUAUU